ACGGCGAGUGAAGCGGCAACAGCUCAAAUUUGAAAUCUGGCGUCUUUGGCGUCCGAGUUGUAAUUUGCAGAGGGCGCUUUGGCAUUGGCAGCGGUCCAAGUUCCUUGGAACAGGACGUCACAGAGGGUGAGAAUCCCGUACGUGGUCGCUAGCCUUUACCGUGUAAAGCCCCUUCGACGAGUCGAGUUGUUUGGGAAUGCAGCUCUAAAUGGGAGGUAAAUUUCUUCUAAAGCUAAAUACUGGCCAGAGACCGAUAGCGCACAAGUAGAGUGAUCGAAAGAUGAAAAGCACUUUGGAAAGAGAGUUAAAAAGCACGUGAAAUUGUUGAAAGGGAAGCGCUUGCAGCCAGACUUGCCUGUAGUUGCUCAUCCGGGUUUCUACCCGGUGCACUCUUCUAUAGGCAGGCCAGCAUCAGUUUGGGCGGUUGGAUAAAGGUCUCUGUCAUGUACCUCUCUUCGGGGAGAACUUAUAGGGGAGACGACAUGCAACCAGCCUGGACUGAGGUCCGCGCAUCUGCUAGGAUGCUGGCGUAAUGGCUGUAAGCGGCCCGUCUUGAAACACGGACCAAGGAGUCUAACAUCUAUGCGAGUGUUUGGGUGUCAAGCCCGAGCGCGUAAUGAAAGUGAACGGAGGUGGGAACCUUUCGGGGUGCACCAUCGACCGAUCCUGAUGUCUUCGGAUGGAUUUGAGUAAGAGCAUAGCUGUUGGGACCCGAAAGAUGGUGAACUAUGCUUGAAUAGGGUGAAGCCAGAGGAAACUCUGGUGGAGGCUCGCAGCGGUUCUGACGUGCAAAUCGAUCGUCAAAUUUGGGCAUAGGGGCGAAAGACUAAUCGAACUAUCUAGUAGCUGGUUCCUGCCGAAGUUUCCCUCAGGAUAGCAG
rnacentral:rRNA from 1 species